GGCCCGCUGGCCAAAUGGUAAGGCACCUGAUUCCGAUUAAGGUCAUUCUCAGGAGAUUGUGCGUUCGAGCCGCACGUGGGUCG